GAUUUCAACUGAAAAGGUCAUCAAUAACAAAGUGGUAUAACUCAUCAAGAUCUAUAAUUUCUAUUUUGGUUAUUUUUUCAUCUGAUAAAGUGAUUUGUAACAUUGUUCACAAGAUGUACAUAUCUCUUGUAUAGUUUUAUAAACUAUAAGAUAGAUAUGUAAAUUUUAUAAAAAAUGUUACUAUCACUUUGUCGGAUGAAAAAAUAACCAGAAUAAAAGUUAUAUAUUUUGAUGAGUUAUACAACUUUGUUGUUGAUGACUUUUUCAGAUGAAAUC
rnacentral:pre_miRNA from 1 species